rnacentral:rRNA from 1 species
AUGAACGCUAGCUACAGGCUUAACACAUGCAAGUCGAGGGGCAGCAUGGUCUUAGCUUGCUAAGGCCGAUGGCGACCGGCGCACGGGUGAGUAACACGUAUCCAACCUGCCGUCUACUCUUGGACAGCCUUCUGAAAGGAAGAUUAAUACAAGAUGGCAUCAUGAGUCCGCAUGUUCACAUGAUUAAAGGUAUUCCGGUAGACGAUGGGGAUGCGUUCCAUUAGAUAGUAGGCGGGGUAACGGCCCACCUAGUCUUCGAUGGAUAGGGGUUCUGAGAGGAAGGUCCCCCACAUUGGAACUGAGACACGGUCCAAACUCCUACGGGAGGCAGCAGUGAGGAAUAUUGGUCAAUGGGCGAGAGCCUGAACCAGCCAAGUAGCGUGAAGGAUGACUGCCCUAUGGGUUGUAAACUUCUUUUAUAAAGGAAUAAAGUCGGGUAUGCAUACCCGUUUGCAUGUACUUUAUGAAUAAGGAUCGGCUAACUCCGUGCCAGCAGCCGCGGUAAUACGGAGGAUCCGAGCGUUAUCCGGAUUUAUUGGGUUUAAAGGGAGCGUAGAUGGAUGUUUAAGUCAGUUGUGAAAGUUUGCGGCUCAACCGUAAAAUUGCAGUUGAUACUGGAUAUCUUGAGUGCAGUUGAGGCAGGCGGAAUUCGUGGUGUAGCGGUGAAAUGCUUAGAUAUCACGAAGAACUCCGAUUGCGAAGGCAGCCUGCUAAGCUGCAACUGACAUUGAGGCUCGAAAGUGUGGGUAUCAAACAGGAUUAGAUACCCUGGUAGUCCACACGGUAAACGAUGAAUACUCGCUGUUUGCGAUAUACGGCAAGCGGCCAAGCGAAAGCGUUAAGUAUUCCACCUGGGGAGUACGCCGGCAACGGUGAAACUCAAAGGAAUUGACGGGGGCCCGCACAAGCGGAGGAACAUGUGGUUUAAUUCGAUGAUACGCGAGGAACCUUACCCGGGCUUAAAUUGCAGAUGAAUUACGGUGAAAGCCGUAAGCCGCAAGGCAUCUGUGAAGGUGCUGCAUGGUUGUCGUCAGCUCGUGCCGUGAGGUGUCGGCUUAAGUGCCAUAACGAGCGCAACCCUUGUUGUCAGUUACUAACAGGUUCUGCUGAGGACUCUGACAAGACUGCCAUCGUAAGAUGUGAGGAAGGUGGGGAUGACGUCAAAUCAGCACGGCCCUUACGUCCGGGGCUACACACGUGUUACAAUGGGGGGUACAGAGGGCCGCUACCACGCGAGUGGAUGCCAAUCCCCAAAACCUCUCUCAGUUCGGACUGGAGUCUGCAACCCGACUCCACGAAGCUGGAUUCGCUAGUAAUCGCGCAUCAGCCACGGCGCGGUGAAUACGUUCCCGGGCCUUGUACACACCGCCCGUCAAGCCAUGGGAGCCGGGGGUACCUGAAGUGCGUAACCGCGAGGAGCGCCCUAGGGUAAAACUGGUGACUGGGGCU